AUCGAACGCUGGCGGCAGGCCUAACACAUGCAAGUCGAGCGAGCGGCGGACGGGUGAGUAAUGCCUGGGAAACUGCCUGAUGGAGGGGGAUAACUACUGGAAACGGUAGCUAAUACCGCAUACCAUCAGAUGUGCCCAGAUGGGAUUAGGUAGUAGGUGGGGUAACGGCUCACCUAGGCGACGAUCCCUAGCUGGUCUGAGGGGAUGACCAGCCGCACUGGAACUGGGACACGGUCCAGACUCCAACGGGAGGCAGCAGUGGGGAAUAUUGCACAAUGGGCGCAGGCCUGAUGCAGCCAUGCCGCGUGUGUGAAGAGGGCCUUCGGGUUGUAAGGCACUUUCAGCGGGGAGGCGUUACCCGCAGAAGAAGCACCGGCUAACUCCGUGCCAGCAGCCGCGGUAAUUC
rnacentral:rRNA from 1 species